GAAUCACUGGGCGUAAAGGGUGCGUAGGCGGGUCUUUAAGUCAGGGGUGAAAUCCUGGAGCUCAACUCCAGAACUGCCUUUGAUACUGAAGAUCUUGAGUUCGGGAGAGGUGAGUGGAACUGCGAGUGUAGAGGUGAAAUUCGUAGAUAUUCGCAAGAACACCAGUGGCGAAGGCGGCUCACUGGCCCGAUACUGACGCUGAGGCACGAAAGCGUGGGGAGCAAACAGG
rnacentral:rRNA from 1 species